rnacentral:lncRNA from 1 species
CCAUCUUGCAAAGUGAAUGAAGGGAGAUGAGCCUUUCUCACUAUUCCUCACUUCUGAUGAUGCAGUACAAGGCUAUCUAGGAACCUCCAGGCUGGUUCCUGUGUACUCUGCAUGAUGACCAAGGCUUGUGCUUUCAAUAGGAGGAGCAUGCAUAAAGGAAUCCAUGUGAUACCAGCACAGUCCCAGGCAGUGAUGUGGAGAGGCACAUCUGUGCUCCAGGCCAUCCUCACCUCUCGCUUACUGAAUUUGGGGCUGGGAAAACAGAUGGAAAAGAGCUCCCCUCUCCAUCACUGUGCAGAGGAGACAGGGACAGCAAUACAGGUUAUCUAUGUUCACUUUUCUGCUGAGAACUCCCUUCUUCCAAACUCUUCUGGGACUGUAGAGGGAUCAGCAACACUGCUGUCAAAAAUGUUUUAUAGGGAAAAGAUACUGGAGGCCUUCCACUUAAGCAGCAUCACUUUCCAAGCACUCACUAAGUUCAGGAACAGGUUGUCCAAACUGUUCUGCAGAGGAGAGGGGGUAGAGACCAACCCUGCAACCACACAACUGAGUUGAAAUUCCAGGGAAGGGCUCCCGUGAGGUUGGCCAAUCUCAAGACCCUCUAAUCAGUUAUCAGUGUGGGAGGUGUGAGCACCACAGAUUUUAACACAGUGAGGCCAGGCAGAUGGGUGCCCACACAGAAGCUGUGGAUAUGGGGGUAAUCUUAAGAAGAAACAAGACCCUUUAAUAAAUCCUGCCAUAUUUCAGACCUCUGCUUUACA